rnacentral:misc_RNA from 1 species
CAACCCUCAGGCCCGGCCUGGUGUUGGGGUCCCACCGUGCGUGGGCCCCUGAAGUCAGCGGCGGGCGCGGCCCGGACCCGAGCGUAGUAGCUUACCUCGCUUAGGGCGUCGGGCGCGCUCCGGCCGUAAAACCCCAGCUUUUACAA